GCCCCGAUGGUGGAAUUGGUAGACACAUCAGACUUAAAAUCUGCCGCCUAUAAAACAGGCGUGCCGGUUCGAUUCCGGCUCGGGGCACCA
rnacentral:tRNA from 5 species